rnacentral:rRNA from 1 species
AGAGUUUGAUCCUGGCUCAGGAUGAACGCUGGCGGCGUGCUUAACACAUGCAAGUCGAACGAACCUUCGGGUUAGUGGCGGACGGGUGAGUAACGCGUGGGAAUCUGCCCUCAGGAGGGGGAUAACGGCUGGAAACGGCCGCUAAUACCCCAUAUGCCGAGAGGUGAAAAGAAAUUCGCCUGAGGAUGAGCCCGCGUCUGAUUAGCUAGUUGGUGGGGUAAGAGCUCACCAAGGCGACGAUCAGUAGCUGGUCUGAGAGGAUGAUCAGCCACACUGGGACUGAGACACGGCCCAGACUCCUACGGGAGGCAGCAGUGGGGAAUUUUCCGCAAUGGGCGAAAGCCUGACGGAGCAACGCCGCGUGAGGGAUGAAGGCCUCUGGGCUGUAAACCUCUUUUCUCAAGGAAGAAGACAUGACGGUACUUGAGGAAUAAGCCACGGCUAAUUCCGUGCCAGCAGCCGCGGUAAUACGGGAGUGGCAAGCGUUAUCCGGAAUUAUUGGGCGUAAAGCGUCCGCAGGCGGCCCUGUAAGUCUGUCGUUAAAGCGUGGAGCUUAACUCCAUUUAAGCGAUGGAAACUACAGGGCUUGAGUGUGGUAGGGGCAGAGGGAAUUCCCGGUGUAGCGGUGAAAUGCGUAGAUAUCGGGAAGAACACCAGUGGCGAAGGCGCUCUGCUGGGCCAUAACUGACGCUCAUGGACGAAAGCCAGGGGAGCGAAAGGGAUUAGAUACCCCUGUAGUCCUGGCCGUAAACGAUGAACACUAGGUGUCGGGGGAAUCGACCCCCUCGGUGUCGUAGCCAACGCGUUAAGUGUUCCGCCUGGGGAGUACGCACGCAAGUGUGAAACUCAAAGGAAUUGACGGGGGCCCGCACAAGCGGUGGAGUAUGUGGUUUAAUUCGAUGCAACGCGAAGAACCUUACCAGGGUUUGACAUCCUGCGAAUCCCUUGGAAACGAGGGAGUGCCUUCGGGAGCGCAGAGACAGGUGGUGCAUGGCUGUCGUCAGCUCGUGUCGUGAGAUGUUGGGUUAAGUCCCGCAACGAGCGCAACCCACGUCUUUAGUUGCCAGCAUUCAGUUGGCACUCUAGAGAGACCGCCGGUGAUAAACCGGAGGAAGGUGUGGAUGACGUCAAGUCAUCAUGCCCCUUACAUCCUGGGCUACACACGUACUACAAUGCUACGGACAAAGGGCAGCAAGCUCGCGAGAGUUAGCAAAUCCCAUAAACCGUGGCUCAGUUCAGAUCGUAGGCUGCAACUCGCCUACGUGAAGGAGGAAUCGCUAGUAAUCGCAGGUCAGCAUACUGCGGUGAAUACGUUCCCGGGCCUUGUACACACCGCCCGUCACACCAUGGAAGUUGGCCAUGCCCGAAGUCGUUACUCCAACUC